GUAGGGAAUUUUCGGCAAUGGGGGGAACCCUGACCGAGCAACGCCGCGUGAGUGAAGAAGGUCUUCGGAUUGUAAAGCUCUGUUGUAAGGGAAGAACGUCAGGCAGAAGAUGCCUGAGUGACGGUACCUUACCAGAAAGCCACGGCUAACUACGUGCCAGCAGCCGCGGUAAUACGUAGGUGGCGAGCGUUAUCCGGAAUUAUUGGGCGUAAAGGGUGCGUAGGCGGCUGAUUAAGUUCGUGGUUAAAGCGUGGGGCUCAACCCCAUAAAGCCACGGAUACUGGUCAGCUAGAGUACUGGAGAGGGCAGUGGAAUUCCAUGUGUAGCGGUAAAAUGCGUAGAUAUAUGGAGGAACACCGGUGGCGAAGGCGGCUGCCUGGACAGAGACUGACGCUGAGGCACGAAAGCGUGGGGAGCAAAUAGGAUUAGAAACCCUAGUAGUCC
rnacentral:rRNA from 1 species